AAUAUUGGAAAAUGGGGGCAACCCUGAUCCAGCCAACCCGCGUGGGUGAAGAAGGUCAUUGGUUUGUCCAGCACUUUAAGUUGGGAGGGAGGGCUUUAGGUCACUACCCUGAAGCUUUGACGAUACCAACGGAAGAAGCCCCGGGUAACUCUGGGCCAGCAGCCGCGGUAAUAACGAGGGUGCAAGAGUUAAUCGGAAUUCAUGGGCGAAAAGCGCGCGUAGGUGGUUCAGUAAGAUGGGUGUGAAAUACCCGGGCUUAACCUGGGAACUGCUUUCAUAACUGCUGAGCUAGAGUACGGUAGAGGGUAGUGGAAUUUCCUGUGUAGCGGUGAAAUGCGUAGAUAUAGGAAGGAACACCAGUGGCGAAGGCGACUACCUGGACUGAUACUGACACUGAGGUGCGAAAGCGUGGGGAGCAAAC
rnacentral:rRNA from 1 species